AGUGAACGCUGGCGGCAGGCCUAAUACAUGCAAGUCGAACGGCAGCACAGCAGAGCUUGCUCUGUGGGUGGCGAGUGGCGGACGGGUGAGGAAUACAUGGGAAUCUGCCCAGUCGUGGGGGAUAACGUAGGGAAACUUACGCUAAUACCGCAUGCGCCCUUCGGGGGAAAGCCGGGGACCUUCGGGCCUGGCGCGAUUGGAUGAGCCCAUGUCGGAUUAGCUAGUUGGUGGGGUAAAGGCCCACCAAGGCGACGAUCCGUAGCUGGUCUGAGAGGAUGAUCAGCCACACUGGAACUGAGACACGGUCCAGACUCCUACGGGAGGCAGCAGUAGGGAAUAUUGGACAAUGGGCGCAAGCCUGAUCCAGCCAUGCCGCGUGUGUGAAGAAGGCCUUCGGGUUGUAAAGCACUUUUAUCCGGAAAGAAAAGCGCUGGGUUAAUACCCUGGUGUCCUGACGGUACCGGAAGAAUAAGCACCGGCUAACUUCGUGC
rnacentral:rRNA from 1 species